rnacentral:misc_RNA from 1 species
GGAAGGAUCAUUAUUGAAAGAAGGAAAAGGGUUUCUAGACUGUUGCUAGUCCUCUCAGAGGCCUUUGCACGUCUAGUUACCUUUUUCCUUAUGUUGACACAACACCCCUUGUGCACUCGUUGUAGGUCCUUUUGAAAAGAAGGACUUAUGUUUUUCCUUAUCACACACACACAGUUUUGUAUGUUGAAUUGGGAUAUUAUAUACAACUUUCAGCAACGGAUCUCUUGGCUCUCGCAUCGAUGAAGAACGCAGCGAAAUGCGAUAAGUAAUGUGAAUUGCAGAAUUCAGUGAAUCAUCGAAUCUUUGAACGCACCUUGCGCUCCUUGGUAUUCCGAGGAGCAUGCCUGUUUGAGUGUCAUGAAAUUCUCAACCAAUGUCCUCUUGAUUUUUCUCGAGGCAUGGCUUGGAUGAUUGGGGGUUGCUGGCUGACCUAGUCGGCUCUCCUAAAAUGUAUUAGCAAAAGAAGGGGUCUCUCUAGCGUAUACGGCCUUGGACAUGAUAAUGAUUGUCAUGGGCUGGAGCGGUGGUUCAGACUUUUGAUUAUGCUUCCUAAUACUCUAUUGUAUCCUUUGACCUCAAAUCAGGUAGGACUACCCGCUGAACUUAAGCAUAUCAAUAAGCGGAGGAAAAGAAACUAACAAGGAUUCCCCUAGUAACUGCGAGUGAAGCGGGAAGAGCUCAAAUUUUGAAUCUGGCAGCCAAGUUGGGUUGUCCGAGUUGUAAUCUAGAGAAGUGUCUUCCGCGCUGGACCCGUGUACAAGUCUCCUGGAAGGGAGCGUCGUAGAGGGUGAGAAUCCCGUCUUUGACACGGAGGGACCCCCAGUGCUAUGUGAUGCGCUCUCGACGAGUCGAGUUGUUUGGGAAUGCAGCUCAAAAUGGGUGGUAAAUUCCAUCUAAAGCUAAAUACAGGCGAGAGACCGAUAGCGAACAAGUACCGUGAGGGAAAGAUGAAAAGAACUUUGGAAAGAGAGUUAAACAGUACGUGAAAUUGCUGAAAGGGAA